rnacentral:lncRNA from 1 species
GAAUGUUUCUCCGGCUCUUGUCAGAACACUAGGGAGCCAGGUCCGGAGAGUAGGAGGGAAGAGACACAUUUAUGCCUGUCCUCGAGGCAUAAUAUGUGUAAAAAUGCCAGACAGAGCAUAUGUCUCUCGCCCAAAUAUCCAAAGGCUUCCUAUCGCAAAGUAAAAAAAAAAAAAGGUGACCUUUGAGCAAGGACCUAAAAUAGAAAACAGGCAAGUAACCAGAAUUACUAUCAUAGAAGUCACCACAUUGGAGAGGGACCUAACCUGAGCUUCCUGGAUUAAAGGAUGAAUAGGAGUUGACCAGAUAAAAAGGAAGAGAGAGAACUUCCACACCAGGCAGAGGGAGCAGCUUGUACAAAGGAAGAUUAGCGCUGAGCUAACAUCCGUUGCCAAUCCUCCCCUUUUUGCUGAGGAAGACUGGCCCUGAGCUCACAUCCGUGCCCAUCUUCCUCCACUUUAUAUGUGGGACGCCUACCACAGCAUGGCUUGCCAAGCAGUGCCAUGUCCGCACCUGGGAUCUGAACCAGCGAACCCCGGGCCGCCCAAGUGAAACAUGCCCACUUAACCACUGUGCCACGAGGCCAAACCCCAGUUAUUUCUUGUAUUCUCACACAAUUUUUCCUCCCAAAAAUCUAUUUGCUUUUCUUGGCUCCCUUAACUAAACCAAUCAUUAAUAUAUAUCAAAACAACACUUUAAAUAACCAACACCGGUUCCUUUAGUAUAUUUGAAACAAUGUAUAAUUUUAUAACAUUCCAG